rnacentral:rRNA from 1 species
AUUUGAGAGGAAGGAGCUGUCCUUAGUACGAGAGGACCGGGAUGGACGCACCGCUGGUGUACCAGUUGUCUUGCCAAAGGCAUAGCUGGGUAGCUACGUGCGGACGGGAUAAGUGCUGAAAGCAUCUAAGCAUGAAGCCCCCCUCAAGAUGAGAUUUCCCAUGGCGCAAGCUAGUAAGAUCCCUGAAAGAUGAUCAGGUUGAUAGGUCAGAGGUGGAAGCGUGGCGACAUGUGGAGCUGACUGAUACUAAUAGAUCGAGGACUUAACCAAC